UGAGCGAUGAAGACACACUUCCAUCGGAUAAACCAUGACGAUGUGAUAUACGCUAUUCUGAGCCAUUG